rnacentral:rRNA from 1 species
CCUACGGGAGGCAGCAGUGGGGAAUAUUGGGCAAUGGGCGCAAGCCUGACCCAGCAACGCCGCGUGAAGGAAGAAGGCUUUCGGGUUGUAAACUUCUUUUGUCAGGGACGAAGCAAGUGACGGUACCUGACGAAUAAGCCACGGCUAACUACGUGCCAGCAGCCGCGGUAAUACGUAGGUGGCAAGCGUUAUCCGGAUUUAUUGGGUGUAAAGGGCGUGUAGGCGGGAAUGCAAGUCAGAUGUGAAAACUAUGGGCUCAACCCAUAGCCUGCAUUUGAAACUGUAUUUCUUGAGUGCUGGAGAGGCAAUCGGAAUUCCGUGUGUAGCGGUGAAAUGCGUAGAUAUUAGGAGGAACACCAGUGGCGAAGGCGGCCUGCUGGGCUUUAACUGACGCUGAGGCUCGAAAGCGUGGGGAGCAAACAGGAUUAGAUACCCGUGUAGUC